rnacentral:rRNA from 1 species
CAGUCGCCGCGGGAAUACGAAGGGUGCAAGCGUUACUCGGAAUUACUGGGCGUAAAGCGUGCGUAGGUGGUGGUUUAAGUCCGUUGUGAAAGCCCUGGGCUCAACCUGGGAAUUGCAGUGGAUACUGGGUCACUAGAGUGUGGUAGAGGAUAGUGGAAUUUCCGGUGUAGCAGUGAAAUGCGUAGAGAUCGGAAGGAACAUCUGUGGCGAAGGCGACUAUCUGGGCCAACACUGACACUGGGGCACGAAAGCGUGGGGAGCAAACAGGAUUAGAUACCCCUGUAGUCCCUGUCUCUUAUAC